rnacentral:precursor_RNA from 1 species
UCAGAAGAGGCUACUACUAGCUAUCUAGCUUCAUGUUUAACUCUUCUUGGGUUUGUGUUUUUGUGUGCUUGUUGGAGUUGUUAGGAGGAAGAGAGGGGUGAGAGGUGAGGCUGACAGAAGAGAGUGAGCACACAUGGUGACUUUCUUGCAUGCUGAAUGGACUCAUGCUUGAAGCUAUGUGUGCUCACUUCUCUCUCUGUCAGCCAUUUGAUCUCUCUUUCUCUCUUUCUCCCUCAUGUGUUAUACUGUUCUCUCAUAUCUUCUUCUUUGAGGUAGUAAUAUACUUGAGCAAAUUAAGCUGCUUAAUUAUUUGUGUAUGAUGAUCAGCUGCUGAUCCGGCCUCAUUUCUUGCAUAUAUGAGAUCAGUUUCAACCACAACCACAUACAUGCUUGUUCAUUUUUUUUCACAAAGAAAGAGAACAGUUUAAUUUAAUUUCUUGGGGUUUUUGGAUCAGUUAAUUUGUCUUGAGAGGGGAAGAGAUCUCUAUGGGUUUUGGAGGUCUGACAGAAGAGAGUGAGCACACACGGUGCUUUCUUAGCAUGCAAGAGCCAUGCUGGGAGCUGUGCGUGCUCACUCUCUAUCUGUCAGCCGUUCACCAUGCCCAAUAUGAUUAAUCUCCUUCUCUCAGUUGACAGUAAUUUCUUUGCCAGAUCUCCUGUUAAAUUUUCUGCCUAGCUAGCUAUUAUGCACAUGCUUAUUAUGAUGAGCCUGCCAAUAUCAUCUCCACGGCAAAACACAAACUAGCUAUGAUUUGAUUCAUUAUAUUUCUUUUCGCUGUUUAAUUAAUUAUAUGCAG